GUGCCGAAUUACAAAGUCUGAAACUACUUAAUACCUAUUUUUUCAGAUGUCACGCUCCUUUCUUCUUCUGUAUUUAUUAAAAGAAGCCAAUGAUUUGGAUUUAUUUGCAUCUCGACGCCAAGCUCGGCGUGUCAGAAAUCUGCCCCUGCUGAAUAGAGGAGAUGACUAUGUGCGCCAAUACCGCCUUAGCGAGGACAUGAUAGAGGAGUUGCAGGAAGAAUUAUCUAAUCUCGUCAGUACUAGGACUAGAGGAAGUUUGAGCAUUAGGUUAAAAUUACUGUGCACUCUUGCUUUCUUAGCCACUGGGAGCUACCAAAGGAUUAUAGGAAGGAAUAUAGGUACCUUUAUGUCCCAACCAUCAAUAUCAAGAUCUAUUGAUGAGAUAGUAAGAUUGCUAAGUCAGCCGAGUAUAGUACGGAAGUAUAUACGCUUUCCCCAAAAUUCAGCUGAAAGGACAAGACUCAAAGAAAAGUUUUAUGAAAAGUUUGGCAUACCAGGUGUCAUAGGUUGUAUCGAUGGGACAUUUGUU